CAAACGACUCUCGGCAACGGAUAUCUCGGCUCUCGCAUCGAUGAAGAACGUAGCGAAAUGCGAUACUUGGUGUGAAUUGCAGAAUCCCGUGAACCAUCGAGUUUUUGAACGCAAGUUGCGCCCAAAGCCAUUCGGAAGAGGGCACGCCUGCGUGGGCGUCACGC
rnacentral:rRNA from 1 species